rnacentral:rRNA from 1 species
AUUGAACGCUGGCGGCAGGCUUAACACAUGCAAGUCGAGCGGUAACAGAGGGAAGCUUGCUUCUCUGCUGACGAGCGGCGGACGGGUGAGUAAUGCCUAGGAAUCUGCCUAGUAGUGGGGGAUAACUUGCCGAAAGGUAAGCUAAUACCGCAUACGUCCUACGGGAGAAAGGAGGGGACCUUCGGGCCUUUCGCUAUUAGAUGAGCCUAGGUCGGAUUAGUUAGUUGGUGAGGUAAUGGCUCACCAAGACCGCGAUCCGUAACUGGUCUGAGAGGAUGAUCAGUCACACUGGAACUGAGACACGGUCCAGACUCCUACGGGAGGCAGCAGUGGGGAAUAUUGGACAAUGGGGGGAACCCUGAUCCAGCCAUGCCGCGUGUGUGAAGAAGGUCUUAGGAUUGUAAAGCACUUUAAGUUGGGAGGAAGAGCAGUUAACUAAUAUUUGACUGUUUUGACGUUACCGACAGAAUAAGCACCGGCUGACUUCGUGCCAGCAGCCGCCGUAA